AUUGAACGCUGGCGGCAGGCCUAACACAUGCAAGUCGAGCGGCAGCACGGCAAUAGCAAUAUUGUGGGUGGCGAGCGGCGGACGGGUGAGGAAUGCAUCGGGAUCUACCCUGUCGUGGGGGACAACGUAGGGAAACUUACGCUAAUACCGCAUGAUCUGGAGACAGCAAAGCCGGGGACCUUCGGGCCUGGCGCGAUGAGAUGAGCCGAUGCCGGAUUAGCUAGUUGGCGGGGUAAAGGCCCACCAAGGCGACGAUCCGUAGCUGGUCUGAGAGGAUGAUCAGCCACACUGGAACUGAGACACGGUCCAGACUCCUACGGGAGGCAGCAGUGGGGAAUAUUGGACAAUGGGGGCAACCCUGAUCCAGCCAUGCCGCGUGUGUGAAGAAGGCC
rnacentral:rRNA from 1 species